rnacentral:rRNA from 1 species
GAUGAACGCUGGCGGCGUGCCUAAUACAUGCAAGUCGAGCGAAUGGAUUAAGAGCUUGCUCUUAUGAAGUUAGCGGCGGACGGGUGAGUAACACGUGGGUAACCUGCCCAUAAGACUGGGAUAACUCCGGGAAACCGGGGCUAAUACCGGAUAACAUUUUGAACCGCAUGGUUCGAAAUUGAAAGGCGGCUUCGGCUGUCACUUAUGGAUGGAACCGCGUCGCAUUAGCUAGUUGGUGAGGUAACGGCUCACCAAGGCAACGAUGCGUAGCCGACCUGAGAGGGUGAUCGGCCACACUGGGACUGGGACACGGCCCAGACUCCUACGGGAGGCAGCAGUAGGGAAUCUUCCGCAAUGGACGAAAGUCUGACGGAGCAACGCCGCGUGAGUGAUGAAGGCUUUCGGGUCGUAAAACUCUGUUGUUAGGGAAGAACAAGUGCUAGUUGACUAAGCUGGCACCUUGACGGUACCUAACCAGAAAGCCACGGCUAACUACGUGCCAGCCGCCGCCGUAA